UUAUAUGGGUUAGGGUUGGGCAUAACGCCUUAAGAAUUGGACCGUGAGAUUGGCAGUUGAAUCCAGCUCAUCAGCUGUUGGGAGUGUAAAUGCACCAUUACUGCUCAAAGAGUCUUAAGAUUCCUGAUCCAGUCCCUCGGUUUUACACAUAAAGGAAGUACUGUUAAUGCAAAGACAUGUUUUUUGUAGAUAAAAUAGAGCAGAAUCUCUUAUAAAAAUAGAAAGAAAAGAUGCAUUAAAAAAGUAACAUGCAGCGUUUGUGACGAUCAGGUCUUCUCGAGCAGAUCUUUUAAAUAAUAAAUACAAAGGAAAUGGGUUAAUAUCAACAGGUUAUGGCUAUGUGAUCCUUGCAUCAAAUGUGAAUCAUAAAUGUUAAUCAAUAUUGCAUUUUGGCUAAACUUAAUUGCAUGUGAUGUGAGAGAUUUUCUAGUCUGCUGUAUGUGAUCAAUGAACUUAAACUAUCGUGUUUAUGCUGUGAUGGUUUUGAACUUUAAUUUUUAUUUGUUAUUUUUUAUGUAUGGUUUUUGAGGGAAAAUCUUCUGUGUCUGUUUAUUUACAUUGCAGCCUUAGUCUAAAUGUGACUACUGUAGGUACUUGAGGGUAUGUAUAUUUUGUGUACAUGGAUUCAAUACACCAGCAUAGAUAAAACUUGUGGUGCUCUUUGACAAGCAUUAAAAAUGAAUAGAUCAGGCUUUUAAAUUUAAAUCUGAAAGCUUUUAAAAGCCUGUGAGUCCAUUUGUACACCCGGACAAUUUGUACUUUGAACUUAGAUCAAAGGUGAAUGUUUUCUACAGGAAAAUUGCAGAAUGAUGUAUAAUUCAUAAUCAAAUGUCCACAUGCUAAUGUUAAAAGGCACUUCUAUACCACUUUUUCACACAUUUUUAUCUGCAUGUUGCAAACUACUGAGCCUUCUCCUGUUCUGAGCACUUAGAAGCAGGAGUUACAAUCUUUCAUGAAGUCUUUAUAAUGUAGCUUUGUUCAAACACAUACAAAUGGAUCCUUGCUUUGAUUUGACAAAUACAAAUGGUUGCUUAUUCUUAAAUAUGUGACCAAGAGAUUACAGCUUGUGAAAGGACCCUUGCAUAUCAAACCUAAUAAUUGCAGUCAUCCAGACUCCAGGGCCAAUAGGAGACAAUACAUGAAUAAAAGUAAGGAUGCACUUCAAUGUUUUUGAACAAUGCUGUUGCCUUUUUCACGUUGUGCUCUUCCUGAUUGGUGCUUUAACGUCCAUCUAAGUAAAUUCCUGAAACACUAUUUUCUGCUCAGGAUGUGUUGAUAAUUAUACAGUGUAGUGCAAUGUGAGUGUAAGUCAUAAAAGAUUAAACUACAAACGCUGUGAUAAUGAUGA